rnacentral:rRNA from 1 species
CAAACAGGAUUAGAUACCCUGGUAGUCCAUACUGUCAACUAUGAAUUUUAAAUAUCGAAAUUCGGUAUUAUAGCUAACGCGUUAAAAUUCCGCCUGGGAAGUACGAUCGCAAGAUUAAAACUCAAAGGAUAUGGCGGGGAUUUUCACAAGUGGUGGAGCAUGCCGUUUAAUACGAUAA